rnacentral:rRNA from 1 species
GUGGGGAAUAUUGGACAAUGGGCGAAAGCCUGAUCCAGCCAUGCCGCGUGAGUGAUGAAGGCCUUAGGGUUGUAAGGCUCUUUCAGUAGGGAAGAUAAUGACGGUACCUACAGAAGAAGCCCCGGCUAACUUCGUGCCAGCAGCCGCGGUAAUACGAAGGGGGCUAGCGUUGUUCGGAUUUACUGGGCGUAAAGCGCACGUAGGCGGAUUGGUCAGUUAGAGGUGAAAUCCUGGAGCUCAACUCCAGAACUGCCUUCGAUACUGGCGAUCUUGAGUCCGGAAGAGGUGAGUGGAACUCCUAGUGUAGAGGUGGAAUUCGUAGAUAUUAGGAAGAACACCAGUGGCGAAGGCGGCUCACUGGUCCGGUACUGACGCUGAGGUGCGAAAGCGUGGGGAGCAAACAGGAUUAGAUACCCCAGUAGUCC